rnacentral:lncRNA from 1 species
UUCUUUUUUUUUUUUUUUCUUUUUUUUUUUUUUUUCUUCCUUUUUUUUUCUUCUUUUUUUUCCUUCUUUCCUCCUCUCUUUUUCUCUUUUCCCAAUCCCAAUUUGCUUUUGGCCACUCUGCACUGAGCAAAAUGACUAGAAGGAAAACCUCCCCCUAAAAAAGAAAAAAUCAGAAAACAGUCCUCUCUCCCACAGAGUUACAAAAAUCGGAUUACAUUCAAUGUCAGAAAGCCAUUCAGAAGCACUAUUAUACAGCUACGGGUUUGGCUCUAAAAAAAAGUAUAAAGGAUCAAGAGACUUCAUGACUGCAGAAUUUAGAGCUAAUCAGGCAGAAAUUAAAAACAAUUGAAUGAGAUGCAAUCCCACCUAGAAGUCCUAACGACGAGGGUUAACGAGGGGGGAAGAACGAGUGAGUGACCUAGAAGACAAGUUGACAGCAAAGAGGGAAACUGAGGAAAAAGAGACAAACAAUUAAAGACCAUGAAGAUAGAUUAAGGGAAAAAAACGACAGCCUGAGGAAGAAAAAACCUCUUUUAAAUUUGGGGGUUUCCCCGAGGGCGCCGAAAGGGACAGAGGGCCAGAAUAUGUAUUGAACAAUUCUAGCUAAAAAAUUUUCCCUUUAAUCUGGGAAGGGAACAGGCAUUCAGAUCCAGGAAAUAGAGAGAUCCCCCCCUAAAAUCAAUAAAAACCGUUCAACACCUCGACUUUAAUUUUUGAAGCUUGCAAAUUCCAAAGAUAAGGAGAAGAUCCUUAAAGCAGCAAGAGACAAGAAAUCCCUGACUUUUAUGGGGAGGAGUAUUAGGGUUAACAGCAGACCUCCCACAGGACCUGGCAGGCCAAAAAGGGCUGGCAGGAUAUAUUCAGGGCCCUAAAUGAAAAGAACAUGCAACCAAGAAUACUUUAUCCAGCAAGGCUCUCAUUCAAAAUGGAAGGAGAGAUAAGAGCUUCCAAGACAGGCAGCAACUAAAAGAUAUGUGACCUCCAAACCAGCUCUGCAAGAAAUUUUAAGGGGGCCUCUUAAUUCCCCUUUAAGAAGAAGUUCAGUGGAACAGUCCACAAAAACAAAGACUGAAUAGAUAUCAUGAUGACACUAAACUCAUAUCUCUCAAUGUAACUCUGAAUGUGAACGGGCUUAUGACCCCAUCAAAAGGCGCAGGGUUUCAGACUGGAUAAAAAAGCAGGACCCAUCUAUUUUCUGUCUACAAGAGACUCAUUUUAGACAGAAGGACACCUACAGCCUGAAAAUAAAGGUUGGAGAACCCCUUUACCAUUCGAAGGUCCUCAAAAAAAGCAGGGGUAGCCAUCCUUCUAUCAGAUAAACUAAAAUUUACCCCAAAGAAAUGUAGUGAGAGAUGAAGAGGGACCUAUAUCAUACUUAAAGGAUCUAU